CUGGUGAAUCAUAGUAACUUAUCGAAUCGCAGUGCCCUUGUGGCGGCGAUAGGUCAUUCAAAUUUCUGCCCUAUCAGCUUUCGAUGGUAGGAUAUGGGCCUACCAUGGCAUUAACGGGUAACGGGGAAUUAGGGUUCGAUUCCGGAGAGGGAGCCUGAGAAACGGCUACCACAACUAAGGUUGGCAGCAGGCGCGCAAAUUGCCCAAUAGCAACACAUCGCUGAGGCAGCGAAGAGAAAUAGCAACUUCAUGCGGCCCUGCCGUGUGAAGAUUGCCAUGGACGAUAUCUAAACCUGUCGGUGAGUAUCAAUUGGUGGACAAGUCUGGUGCCAGCACCCGCGGUAAUUCCAGCACCAAUAGCGUAUAUUAAUGCUGCUGCUGUUAAAAAGCUCGUAGUUGGAUCAAGAGUCGGACAGUGCACGGUGGCCCUGUUUGUCAGUUGAGCUCCGGUUUAGCUGGCGGCAGCGGAUCAACCCCGUGCGCCAAACUGUCCGCUCUAACAGACCGAAGCGGUUCCCUGUGAGUAGGCUCCUUUAUUGGGGCUGAAAGCGCUUACGCAUCAACCAUAUGCAUACGGGACGUCGGUCAAAGUUACUGUGAACAAACCAGCGUGUCCAAAACAGGCUUUCGCCUGAAUGUUCGAGCAUGGAAUAACAAGGGAUCGAUUCUCUCGGUUCUUUUUGUUGGUUUUUAACCCGAGAAGGAGUAAUUCAGGCCACGGUGUCUGAGUUGGGUUCCCCGUCACCUCGGUGGCGGCCCCAAUUAGGCUGUGUCCUUACGGGAUCAAUAGGGGCUGACGGGGUCGUACGUACUUCUACGUCAGAGGUGAAAUUCUUAGAUCGUAGGAAGACGAACUUCUGCGAAAGCAUUCGACAAGAAUGUCUUCAUUAAUGAAGAACGAGAGUGUGGGGAUCGAAGAUGAUCAGAUACCGUCGUAGUCCACAACUGUAAACAAUGCCGUCUCAGGAUUGAGAAGUGAACCUAAUGACUUUCACAGCACUAACCCCUGAAACGAGAAAUCAAAGAUUAUGGGUUCAGGGGGGAGUACAUUCGCAAGGCUGAAACUUAAAGGAAUUGACGGAUGACACCACAAGGCGUGGAGUAUGCGGCUUAAUUUGACUCAACACGGGGAAUUUUACUAGGUCAGGACAAUGUAAGGAUUGACAGAUUGAGAGCUCUUUCUCGAUCCAUUGUGUGGUGGUGCAUGGCCGCUCCUGGUUGGUGGAGUGAUUUGUCUGGUUGAUUCCGUUAACGAACGAGAUCUCGACCCUUAAAUAGGUGCCCAUGUCGAUUGUAGUUUCGCUUCUGCCCGCUUGCGGGAU
rnacentral:rRNA from 1 species